AUGUUUGAGUGCACCCACCAGUUUUCCCUUAUCUAUUGGAAGAAAUGGGCGGGGCCACUGGAGGGGUCUCGUCGGCUGCCAUUGGACGAACCCCACAGAAGGCGGGGCCUACACAACCCCCACUACUCAUCCAUACAUCCCCCAAUUCAUUUCUCAAAGCAGCGAGAGACGCACUUUGUUUCUAUUGUGAUCAAACCGCACGAGGAGAAGAACUACAGGAACAUAAAGCAGCCGAAACACUGGAAACUUAAAGCAAGAACAUCAUUUCUCACUGUAAGCUGUGAAGAUCUCAGAAUCCAGGAGCUCACUGACCGUGCAUUGAAUGUUGGCAUGGCGGAUGGCCUGUUAGCAUGUCAGCUCUGAAUCUCUGAGUUCUCUGGACCUAAUGGUCAGCAAACAAGGAAACGAGAGGUCAGAGGUCAUGGAGAAAGUGGCAAAUCAGCAGAAGGUACUCUGUAAAACUCAAAAAAAAGAGUGAUUUUAGAUGUGUCCCAACAUUAGUUUGCUGAGGAAUUACACAAGCUGACUAAAACUCUGGCACAAAAGUCCGAUUUUGAUUUCGUGUCGUGUUUGAAUGGAUGGGGCAAUACAGUAUGAUUGCAUCCAGUGAGGUCAGAGCUUCUGGGCUGGUGCUGACAGAGAAGAGGUCACUGACCGCAUGUCCAAGGUCAGAGAUAUAUGAUCAUAUGAUGAGCAUAUGAUUUUGUAGGACGGCAGUCAUGUCUGAUUUGAGUGAGGUCUUGGAGUUCAUUUAGAUUGACGUUAUUCUCUGUAAGCUUGAGCUUGACUUUACCAUGUGUUUUUCAGUCACAAGACUGAUCAUGUGAAUAUUUUUGGUGUUUAUUUUUAUCACCAUACCAUACUUGUGGUAUUGUUCCCACCAUAUAUCACAACCAUAGUCAGUUGCAUUUGUAAGACAUUUAAAUUUCAUAUUGUGACAUUUUUUCCAAAUGAAACGAUUUAGUGGGAAAAAAACACACUUGCAUGGUAUAUCUAUCUAUCUGUCUGGGAAACGGCCUUUGACUAGAGGAACAAAUAAUAAUAAAGUCAGUAUAUAAUUUAUUCCAUCUCUGCUUGACUCCAGGACCCUCAUAAAAUAGAUUCAAAGAGACGUCACAAAAGUCAUGGGUGACUAUUGUGCAUGCCAUAUUUGUAAAAUCUGUCUGUAGAAGCUGGGGUUCAUCUGGUUUUGUGUCAUGGCUCUAGUUUGGGGUGUUGGUCAGUGUGACGUCUGUAUUAUUGUGAAUGUCAAUAAGGCAGCACAUUGUUGAAUGGUCAUCAAGGACAGUGCAUUGUGUGAAACAGCUGCGACGGAUGAUAAAAAUGAUGAGAGAGCGUGACAGGUCUUCUUAUUACUGAGCUUUACACCUGAGUUAUUGUAUUUCGCUCAUCUCAAAAGUAGUUAGUUGUGGUACAUUUACCCUAUGAUUGUCUUCUGGCCACUUUGUAAAUGCAUGUUCUGAAUUUUUAUUAUAAUAAACAUCUACAAGCUACUUUUUUAUGACCAUCUAUUGACCUUCCUAUGUUUGCAAAAAGACUAGCUGACCUGUAUUCCACCCCAAAGUGCCUCACUGAGUUGCUAAAUUUAUCAGCUCAAAUAGACAUCUUUAAUGACCUUGGCCGCGACUGGUUUUCUUUAAUGGUCAACUCGACAUUUAGCAGCGUUAGGGCUGCCAAAAUCAUGUAUCGAGGCAGCCUCGGGACUCCAUGCCUCACAUACCAUCGUCAUGUGAAAUUCAAGCUCCUGCCAGAAUUCAAACCCACCCCCUCUGGACCCCAAAGAGGAGCUGCUGUUUGUAAUGCCUGGUCAAAAGUUUGUCACAUAAUCCUGUUGAUGCUGAUUAUUCCAAUACAGGCAUAAUUGAACAAUACCUCAGUGAGGACAAAAUGUACAUUCAGUUGGUCAUUAUUUCACAAUGAACCCUGACAGGUUGACACUUCUAUAUGGGUUUUUAAUUGACUGUAAUGUUUUAUUUUUGAUUCUAAAAUAAUAAGAAACUUAAACAAGAAAUUUGUUAGAUUUUUUUAGUUUUUGAAAAGUCUCUUAUGCUCACCAAAGCUGUAUUUAUUUGAUGAAAAAUACAGUAAAAAUAGUAAAAACUGUGAAAUAGUAUUACAAUUUAAAAUAAUUGUUUUCUAUUUGAAUAUAUUUUAAAAUAUAAUUUAUUUCUGUGAUGCAAAGCUGAAUUUUCAACAUCAUUACUCCAGUCUUCAAUGUCACAUGAUUCUUCAGAAAUCAUUCUAAUAUGCCGAUUUGCUGCUCUAGAAUCAUUUCUGAUUAUUCUUAAUGUUGAAAACAGUUGCGCUGCUUCAUAUUUAUAUAAAGCCAUAUUUUUUUCAGGAUUCUUUGAUGAAUAGAAAGUUCAAAAGAAUGGCAUUUAUUUGAAAUCUUAAUAUUUACUAUGAUGUUUAAGAUCACAUAAAUCAUCACCAUUGUAUGUUUUCUAAUCAAGCACAGAAUGUUUUAAAAACUUUCCAUGGCACUCUGACUCAUUAUGUUGCUGGUUUUAAAUGUUAAUAGUGUUGUAAUUUAAUCUCAAGUCUGCAUCAGUCUCAUUUGGAAAUGGACUAGACUCAAGACUUUCCUCAGUUAUCUGGCUGUAAAUGAACACACUCAUACAGUUCUUCACAAGAGCUUCUGGUUGUUGUUGUGAGCGGUCUGUGUUAAAUAUAUCUUGACAGCUGGGUGUCUCAAUGGCCCUACUGUUUUAUACAUUCUCCUGCAGCUUCCUAAAAACCUCAGUCAUAAAAUAAACAGUAAUGUUGUUAUUGAGCCUCCAUCUUUGCAGGGAGUGUGCAGAGACUCUUCGCUGAAGAGCGAGAACAUCUGCUGGCCUAAACUGUCCCCCUGGUGGGCCGUGCCUCAUUGUUGUCAUUGUAAACUGAUGACUUAAUAGCGUGCAUAAAUGGAAAUUAGGACUCAGGUGAAACUGAUGUAAGGCCAAUCACUAAAUUGCUGAAAAAUCCUGGUGAAUUUUUAGUUGACAAUUCUUUAGAUGAGUGCACUGCCUUAGCUGUAAGUUUUAUUUUAGUAUUAUGUAUUCACUCUUAUAGUAUUAUAAUUUUUUAAUAUUACCUUUAAUACUUUAAUAUCUAUUUUUAUAUUUUUUAAAGGGGUCAUAUGACGUUGCUAAAACGAACAUUGUUUUGUGUAUUUGCUCAAGCUUACUGUGAUGCCCUGUGUAUUUUAUUUCAGCAAGUUUCCAAAGCAACAUUUCAUUUAGUUUAAUUUCAUGCAAUAAAUUGAGCCUCCAUCUUUGCAGGGAGUGUGCAGAGACUCUUCGCUGAAGAGCGAGAACAUCUGCUGGCCUAAACUGUCCCCCUGGUGGGCCGUGCCUCAUUGUUGUCAUUGUAAACUGAUGACUUAAUAGCGUGCAUAAAUGGAAAUUAGGACUCAGGUGAAACUGAUGUAAGGCCAAUCACUAAAUUGCUGAAAAAUCCUGGUGAAUUUUUAGUUGACAAUUCUUUAGAUGAGUGCACUGCCUUAGCUGUAAGUUUUAUUUUAGUAUUAUGUAUUCACUCUUAUAGUAUUAUAAUUUUUUAAUAUUACCUUUAAUACUUUAAUAUCUAUUUUUAUAUUUUUUAAAGGGGUCAUAUGACGUUGCUAAAACGAACAUUGUUUUGUGUAUUUGCUCAAGCUUACUGUGAUGCCCUGUGUAUUUUAUUUCAGCAAGUUUCCAAAGCAACAUUUCAUUUAGUUUAAUUUCAUGCAAUAAAAUAACUCAAACUACAAAAUAUAUAGAAAUAUAAAAAAUAAAAUUACAUACUAAAACUUUAACUACAAAAUCUAAAAGUAAAAACUAGUUCGAAAUAUUAAUAAAAACUGUAAUAGUAUCUCCAUGAUACUAAAAUAACACUGGUUUUAGUUUUAGUUAACAAUAUCAAUGCUAGACGUUUUAAACAGAUUUUUAGGUGUUUUUAAUGCAUGUAGUGAAUAUUCAAUGUUUUUAAUAGUUU
rnacentral:lncRNA from 1 species